UUGAGUUUGAUCCUGGCUCAGAUUGAACGCUGGCGGCAUGCCUAACACAUGCAAGUCGAACGGCAGCACAGCAGAGCUUGCUCUGUGGGUGGCGAGUGGCGGACGGGUGAGUAAUGCAUCGGGACCUACCUGAACGUGGGGGAUAACGUAGGGAAACUUACGCUAAUACCGCAUACGUCCUACGGGAGAAAGCGGGGGACCUUCGGGCCUCGCGCGGUCAGACGGACCGAUGUUCGAUUAGCUAGUUGGUAAGGUAAUGGCUUACCAAGGCGACGAUCGAUAGCUGGUCUGAGAGGAUGAUCAGCCACACUGGAACUGAGACACGGUCCAGACUCCUACGGGAGGCAGCAGUGGGGAAUAUUGGACAAUGGGCGCAAGCCUGAUCCAGCAAUGCCGCGUGUGUGAAGAAGGCCUUCGGGUUGUAAAGCACUUUUAUCGGGAGCGAAAUACCAUCGGUUAAUAACCGGUGGGGCUGACGGUACCCGAGGAAUAAGCACCGGCUAACUUCGUGCCAGCAGCCGCGGUAAUACGAAGGGUGCAAGCGUUAAUCGGAAUUACUGGGCGUAAAGGGUGCGUAGGCGGUUUGUUAAGUCUGUCGUGAAAUCCCCGGGCUCAACCUGGGAAUGGCGAUGGAUACUGGCAGGCU
rnacentral:rRNA from 1 species